rnacentral:rRNA from 1 species
UACGUAGGUGGCAAGCGUUGUUCGGAAUUAUUGGGCGUAAAGGGCGCGUAGGCGGUUCGCUAAGUUGGAUGUGAAAACUCUGGGCUUAACCCAGAGCCUGCAUCCAAAACUGGCAAACUUGAGUACUGGAGGGGAAAGCGGAAUUCCUGGUGUAGCGGUGAAAUGCGUAGAUAUCAGGAGGAACACCGGUGGCGAAGGCGGCUUUCUGGACAGUAACUGACGCUGAUGCGCGAAAGCUAGGGGAGCAAACAGG